GACGAACCGUCCCAUACGUUGUUCGGAAUCACUGGGCUUAAAGGGCGCGUAGGCGGCUUAGCAAGUGACGGGUGAAAUCCCUCGGCUUAACCGAGGAACUGCCUGUCAGACUGCAUGGCUUGAGACCAGGAGAGGUGAGUGGAAUUCCCAGUGUAGCGGUGAAAUGCGUAGAUAUCAGGAAGAACACCCGUGGCGAAGGCGGCUCUCUGGGACGUGACUGACGCUGAGACGCGAAAGCGUGGGGAGCGAACAGG
rnacentral:rRNA from 1 species